GGCCACCAAGCUGCAUCUGCCAUCUCUCAUUAGUGCAAAGAAAUGGACAAAACAGUAUCCCUCCGUGCUCCAUGAGAGUGGGGUGAAAUUAUUUAGUACUGCCUACAGUAAAAUGCUUUACCACAAAAGGAAAUUCACCAUCGAUUACCAUUUCCAAGGACUUAAGCAUCAGCAAGAGAACAUCAAGCAGCAAGAACAUGUGAAGAUGAACGCUGUCCGAACUUCAAACUAGAAUGACCGUGGCAGGAGCAAAAGAAACAAAUUACACAAUGGACCCAGAGCCAGCACAACAGAGCCAGCAGUGCACGAGCAGGAAUGCAUUUCUUACUUGGAAAUUCCAACACCACUUCACAUUUAAAGAAGAAAGGGAUGGGCAAAAUCUGACCGUUCAACGCAAACUCUAUUUGCCAGCAACCAAGCUGCUUUCAGCAUCAAAAGACUCCACCUCCAACUUAAAGAAACAUCUGGAGGUUUGUGGCUGAAGUCCUCCACAGUCAGUGGAAAAGCUUGUCCAGGUCCAGCUGAGCUUUGUUGUUGACCUAGGACCAGCAGCACUCCAAGCAUCUGCAAGUA